GAGUCAGAGCAGGGGAGACAAACGAUCUGUUAUUGUACAGAGGAGGAAAAUGAGACUCAGAGAUGCUGAGGACCCAGCUCCUUGGUGGCAAAGCCGGUCUGAAAGCUCGGUCUCUAACCCUGAACUCUUUGAGAUUCUCUGGAGGGUUCUGUGUUUGUUUCUACGGCUGCUUCAACCACAAACAGCACACAUUUAUUUCCUUACGGAUCUGGAGGUCAGAAGUCUCAAGUGGUCUGCAGGGCUGUGUUCCUUCCGGAGGCGCUGGGGACAAUCUGUUUCUGUGCCUUUUCCAGCUUCCAGAGGCCACCCACAUCUUUUUGUUCACGACUCCCUUCCUCCAUCUUCAAAACCUGCAAAGCAGCAUCUUCAAACCUCUCUCUCUCUCCCUCUGCGUCCUUCUGUCAGACUCUGACCCUCUGCAUCCCUCUUAGAAGGGCCUUGUGAUGACAUCAGUCCCACCAGGAUAACCCAGGAUAAUCUCUCCAUCUCAAGAUCCUUACCUCGAUCACAUCUGCGAAGUCCCAUCUGCCUUAUAAGAUUAGCCCUGAGCUACCUGCUGCCAAUCCUCUUUUUGCUGAGGAAGACUGGCCCUGAGCUAACAUCCGUGUGCAUCCUCCUCUACUUUAUACGAGGGAUGUCUGCUACAGCAUGGCUUGCCAAGCGGUGCCAUGUCCACAUCCAGGAUCCAAGCCAGUGAACCCCGGGCCGCCGAAGCGGAACAUGCGCACCUAACUGCUGAGCCACCGGGCUGGCCCUUACUGGGGAUUUUUAAAACUUAAAUUCCGUGUUCUCAUUUUAAUUAGACAGUCAGUAACUCUGUGAGGUCAAGAAAACCUUUCUUCCACUGUCCUACUCUGAUGUGGUCAACACUGGAGACUUAGAAACCAGUCUCCUCUGCCUCCCACAGUUACCAGCAUGGAAAUAUGACCACAAUAAAUCGGCAAGAGGGAAUAAAAAGUGAUUCACCAAUCAUUACAUACAAUAUAAUCACACUUUUAUAAAAGGAUAAAAAAGUUUAUCCCCAUGUGUAUAGAAAAAUGUCCAGAAAAGCACGCAUUAAAGGGUCAAGAGGGUUGUUCUGAGUGGUGGGUGUAGACUUCCAUUUACCUUGCCACUAUUUUACUAAAAUGUAUUAAAUUCUCACCCUAAAUCUGAGACACUCUGCUAGACACCCACACUUUUCGGUUUUAUCUAGUAAUUUGCUCUAUGCGUCUUUCCUUACGAUUAGCUUGUAUUUUUUUAAUCAGAGCAGGAAAAGGGGGAGCUGUCUCUUCAUUGACAAAUGAAGUACUUAGCACAUAGUACUUAGAACCUGGUGGGUGCUAGGUAAUGGUGGCCAUUACUUUACCAUUCUGUGAAUCUUGGGUCUUCAUCUGCCGUAACUUCUUGAGCAACCAUUGUGACAACAGCAGCAAUGACAGCAAGUAUUUAUAUAGAGUGUUGAUUACGUGCCACGCUGUUCUGAUAUCCAUCGCAUGUGGGCCUCACGAGAGCUAUGAGGUGACUAUUAUUCCCAUUUUACACAUCAGAAAAUGGAGGCAGAAGUACAGUGGCUGCACCAUGGGCCGCCUCCCUCCACCCCCAGCCCAGCCUGGGACUCAGAGCAAUUUUCUUCACCUUCUCUACCCCAGCACCUGCUCUGAUGGGAACAACAGAAAUAGAUGCACAUACACGCACAUGCACACACACACACCCAGAAAUGGAUGGGGUGGGGCUGGCCUGGGUUGUUGUUGGUGACUCAGUCGGUCAGAGGAAAAGGCAGCGUAAUGCAGACAAAUACAAGAUAAUAAGUCUGGAGCCAAUGAACCGAAAGAUAGGGAGAGCACAUCUUAAUAAAGAGUCACGAGUCCCUCCAGCCUGGAAAGGGAUUUAGAGGUUACUGUGGAAAAAAAAAAUUUUUUUGAAGUCGUCAGCACCUUGUACUGCCAGAGUAAACUUGGGAAUCCGGGGGUCCCUGUGUCCACCCUGUGCUCUCCUCUCCCACGGAGGGAAGCCAGCAGUGGGUGGGUCUGGUCCUUCCGUCCUGUUGGGGCCUGGCCGGGAGCAGGGGGGGUCCUUUUUCUGCUGUGGGCGAAUGCUGAUACUGUGUGCAAAGCGGGCUGCUGAGUUUGAAUGAUGGGAUCGUGUACGUGGGCACAGUCACAAGGGCUGGGGUGCGGGAAAAGACGAGCUGCGGGCUCUCAGAGUAAGGGGGCUCAUGGUGGCUGGAGAACCUGGGAAGGAAGGUGAAACGGGAGUGACUUGCAGAUGGUUGGGGUGAAUGGAUGCGUCUCAAGGGCUAAGACUGGAAGGACUCAGACAAACAGGACAGCUGACAGCCAGAGGGAAGUCUACCAAGGCAGCAGUGUGUAUUUCCAUGCUUCGUUCCCAAGACGCACGAUGCUUUAAGUAGCCAUGUUGAGACAACCUGAGGUCUGGGGGAAAGUAGACUCUGACGCCAAACACACCAGCUUUGGGUCGUAUCCUUCCCGCUGAAUUCCUGAGUCAAUGGAAUUGAUGCCUUGCUGCUCAGAGCCUCAGUCCCCUCAUCUCUAAAAAGGGGACCAGAUUGGUGGCUGAGAGGAGAUGAUGUGUCUGCUCGAGCCAAGCCUUCCACUGGCCCCGCUGGACUUCAGACGCAUGCAGCCAUGCCUGCUGAACUGGUGGGGAGGGCGGGUGGAAGAUGACUCAGGGGCAGGAUGGUGUAGAAAAGCUUCCCAGGAGGCAGGGCAAAAAGGGUCAGCUGCAGCAAAUAAUCCAGGGACAGCGGCUCUGUGCUUGGGGGCAGUAGAGAACUGAGCACAGUGUGAUGCUCGUGGCUGAAACCACACCAGCGGGCAUUUCUGAGCCCAAAGAGCAGACCGAGAUAAUAUCAACAGCAAUAACAACAGUUAGUUCACUCUUCACACUUUAAAGGUGGAUAUUAUUAUCCUCAUUUUACAGAUGAGGAAACUGAGGCACAGAGAGGUUAAGUAAUUUACGUCAGGUCACCCACCCAGUAAGUGGCAGAGCUGGGAUUCAAACCGAGGUCCCCUGGCUAAAUUGCACAUGCUCUUAACCACUGCACAUAUAUGGCUCCACUGUUAGAAAUAAAACCUCGGUAUCAAAAUGAGACUGAGAAGCAAGAACAACUCUCUCCUAGACCACGAGCUAGCUUUGGCAUCUAAAGGCUUAGGAGGGCAACCAUCAGAGGGACUCUUUGGGGCCCAAAGGGGAGGCAGAGCCACCAGGGGAGGAGAACCCUACGGCAGGAAGGACUGGUGCCCAGCAGAGCAGCAGCGGCACGCAUGAAAACUAAAGGAGGGAGUGCAUCCUCGAGGAAUCUUCAGAGACCACGGGGCGUCAGAGCUGCCUGAGGAGAAAUUUGCAUGAGGCCAAGACUGCCCAGAGGGGCAAGAUGCAAUCUUCUUGGAGAGGGAACAGGGCUGGGGAAGUCCAUUUGCCUCUGAUUUCAAGAAUGCUUCUCUAAGGGAAAGGAGGGUUCAGGAUGCUUCGAGCAGGGGAGAGAUUUCAAGAUGCUCCACGACAGACCUAGGUCCUGAUGGUCUUCGUCAGCAUCCCCAUUUUACAGAUGAGGCAACUGAGGCCUGGAAAAAAAUCUUGAAAAACAAAUCUGAGUGGCUCAGCCCAAACUAGGCACUGAUUCCUCUUGGAUCAAAUGGACUCACCCUGGUGCAAUCAGCUGUGGCCACAAGGGUGGAUCAUGCGGUACAAACAGUGCUGUCUGUUGGACAGGACCUGGGACAGGUGGACACUUCCAAAGGAGACAUGGGUUAACCAGCACGUCAACUUGAUCUCAGCCUCCGGUUGUUCUUUGCUAAGGAAGUGACAUGGCCUCGUGAUCAGUGUGGCUAAGAGGAUGAUCCUUGUCUGGUUUGAAGGGUCUUUGGGGGUCCCACAUUGCUUUAUUCUAUGUUGCAAUGGUCAUGUCUUGCUUUUAUCCUAACGCCCUAAGCACUCACUCUGUUGCCACAUGACAUCUCAUCCUCUCUCUCUCUCCUUCCUCACCCAAGUGGCCCGUUGCGGUACUUCUGUCCUCUUUUCUGAAUUAAUAUUCUUUUGGGGGACUCCGUGAGGUCUAGUUAUCUGUUUGGGUGAGAAGAAUUACUUAUUCUUCGUUCAAUUCUGAGCUGUAAACAGACUCCGCGUGCCAUGGGGAAAUGUAGCCGUGGUACUUUCUGACCAAUGCCGUUGCGUGUUCCCCCAGGUGCAGAAAGAGCAUGUGAUGGGCAUUGUACUCACUCCCUCUGCAGUGUUCUGUGGCCUUAGAAAUGGGGGACUUACGAUGCAGUUACUGCCCGCCUACUGUCUAGACAUGACAACGAGAAUGUCAUGAGUACACGAGGGUAACAGGUUUGUCACAAUGCACUUUCCACCAAAUGCCACCAGUUCUUCCCUGGGGCAUGUGGAGAAUUGCACUGCCUCACCCCAUUGAGGUUAGAUGUGGGCAGGUGACUUGUCAAAUGAAAGGUGAGCAGGAAUAAAACAUAUCACUUCUGAGUGGAAACUUUAAGAGCCAGCGUGGUUUUCCAUGGACUUUUUCCUCUAUCAUGGUGCCCGCAACACCCCAGAGUGGCUGCUCCAUCUAACUGGGUCCUGGAGAGAGGAGGAGAACCCCGAGGUGACCUGUAGUUGACUUUUGUUCAAGCUGUGGCAACGGGGGGCUGUUUGUUACCACGGUGUAACUUGGCUUAUCCUAACUGAUGUAUAGGAUAUGGGUAUACACAUAAAAGGAUUUCUUUCAGGAGUUUACUCAUCUACCCAUCCAUCUGUUCAAACAUAUAUUGUGUACUUACUGUGCAAAAAGUAUUUAAAUCAAGGAGAAAUAGAAGUGAUUGAAAAAAGUGGUGUCAAAUAGGACGUGUGAUGUCUUGUGUACAUGUGUAUGUGUCUAUAUAUACAUGUCUACAAAAUAACCAGAUUGAGUACUGACUAUGAGUGAGGCAUAGUGUGAUUUGCAUGAAUUAGCUUAUGCAGUUUGCUUUUCUUUAAAUUAGAACCAUAUUACAGUUUAGGGAAAAAACCUUGGGGCUCAGAGAGGUUCUGGAACUUACACAACAUUGCAUAGCUAAUAAGUAGGAGAUUUGGGUUUCAGAUCGAAGUGUGUCUGCCUCCAAACGACUUCACCACCACGCUAUCUUCUCCCUUUUCAAAUGCUAAGAUAGUUCUGUGUUUCUCCAGAGAACCACAAGAAAGCCCAGAAAAAAUAAAAACUCUGCCCUUUCAAGUCCUUGCAGCAGCCAAGCUCUUGGGUUUGCUUUGACAGGUUGUCUUCCUUUCAAAAUCAAAAUGAGGCAGCACAGAUGGAAAUAGAGGCCAGCUGUUUGGUGGAGCAAGAUACCUGCGCGCACGCCAGCAGGGGCCGGGCUGUUAUUCCAGGAGCCCCUGGCGUCGGCGGUUCUGCUCAUGCCUCAUCCCACUGUGCGUGCAUCCGCUCGGGCUGCGCCUUCCCCAAAUAAGGGAGAAUCUCUACAAAUUGCAUGUUUUUAUGCAGACUUAGGAAAAUGUGAGGGAUUACGGUAAGAACGGACUGAUACCAUCAUUAAUCAACAACCAGGGAGAGAAAAGGAAGGGAUGAAAAUGUAGGUUCUUGUAUUAGGAGAAGAUCUGUGGGAAGAGAUUAGAAAUAUCGAGAAGCUGGAAAGUGGUUUCUUUUUUUUUGCAAAUGCUUUUCCAUUCUUGAAGUUUUAAAAGUUGUGGGGGAGUUUCCUGGCCACAGAGAGAAAGCCAAUAAAGGCAGCCCCCAAGGCAUUCAUUCGUUCAUUCAUUUGAAAAUCACUUUCUCAGUGCUCACUGUGUGCAACUGGGAUGUGAAGAGAGAAACAAAAUUUUAUGUAACAGACACUUAAAUAAAACCUACUAUGUGCCAGGCACUGCUCUAAGCAUUUUACCCGUAUUAACUCAUUUAAGGCUCACAAAAACCCAGAGAGGUAGAUACUCUUAUUAUCUCCAUUUCGCAGAAGAGGAAACUGAGGCACAGAGAAGUUUAAUUACCUUGCCCGAAGUCAUGCAGCCUUUGAGAUUUGAAGUGCGGCAGGUCUGGCUCCAACACUGUGCUCUUUAUUGCACUGCCUCUCACGGGGUCUUGGUCCUCAAGCUCACAGGUUGGUAGGGAAGAGGAACUUAGACACAAAACAGUCAUUUUAAUAAUGUGAUACCUAUUUUGAUGGAGACAUCCAAGGAGAAAGAAUUCAGUUCUGCUUGGGGACAUCGGGGAGAGCAUCACUGAGAAAGAGAUCCUUAAAUGCCAUCACGCAUUUGUUAGCCACGUGGGCAAGUGCAGGAAGGGGCCCCCUAGGUGGAGGGACCAGCUUGAGCAAAGGCACAGAGGCGAGAGGCAGCCUAGGCUGAGCAGGAAAGCGCUGAGGCAUGCAACAUGCAAAGGAGGGCAGAAGAGACAAGCAAGGAGGGUAGAUUGGGCAAAACGAGAGAGGCUCUUAUAUUCCAACUAAGGCAUUUCUGGGGUUGGGCGUCUGCCUUCUGCAAUGCUGAUACACACAGAAAAAAGCAUCAGGUUGCAUCAGGUCUCCCAGCUGUACUUUAAAAAGGUGCCUGGCAUCAGUGGGGAGGGCUGGCUGGGAAGGAGGGUAGCAGAUCUGUUCAGAGAGAAGCCUUUAGAAUCAGACAGCUCCGAGCUUGACUCUCAGCUCUCAGUUUCUACUCAUGUGACCUCAGGCAACCUACUGGACCUCCUGGAGCCUCGGCUGCCAAGUGGGUCGUUGCAAGGACCGUACAGAGUGGCUGCUGGGUCUGUUGCUGGCACGCUUUUUCUUGGAUCUGGAUGUAGGUAUACUAUUUAAGAGGAUAAUACUCUACAAGAUGAAGGGGGAAAUAUGACACUCUUGACCUGUCAUGAACAGGGUUGUUUCCCCUAUCCCAUAGUGGGAAAGAUUCAUUUGCUCUGAUCCCACACUGGGAUCCCCUCAAGACCAAAUGCAAGGUCAAGUUGCUCUGUUGUCAGCAGAGGUGGCAUGGGAAACCAACUCAACACUCUUGGCUUUAUAAUCAAGGGCUCUGAUCUCUCGCUUCUCAAACUUUAACGUGCACACAAAUCACCCCAGAUCUUGUUAAAAGGCAUCACAGGAAAAAAAAAUGUGUAACUAUUUAUGGUGAUGGAUGUUAACCAGACUUAUCGUGGAGAUCAUUUCCCAACAUAUAUAAAUAUCGAAUCAUUA
rnacentral:lncRNA from 1 species